AGCAGUCGCCACGGUAAUACGUAGGUGGCAAGCGUUGUCCGGAAUUAUUGGGCGUAAAGGGCUCGCAGGCGGUUUCUCAAGUCUGAUGUGAAAGCCCCCGGCUCAACCGGGGAGGGUCAUUGGAAACUGGGAAACUUGAGUGCAGAAGAGGAGAGUGGAAUUCCACGUGUAGUGGUGAAAUGCGUAGAGAUGUGGAGGAACACCAGUGGCGAAGGCGACUCUCUGGUCUGUAACUGACGCUGAGGAGCGAAAGCGUGGGGAGCGAACAGGAUUAGAUACCCGCGUAGUCCCUGUCUCUUAUAC
rnacentral:rRNA from 1 species